AUGCAAACACACGGGAAGGACGGUUACGGAUCAAAACAACACUUCAAGCGGCGAGGGCCGUGAUUAACUCUCUGUAUACGAUUAAUACGAAGUCCGCUUUUCCCUCUUUACUCUGUGCUCAUCGUCCGCUUCGUAGUGUUGUGUAAAAUAUCUCCCAACAGAGUUAUAAACAGCUCAUCUCGGCCAAACAGCCUGUUGACUCAUGAGUCACUUCAGGAAGAGGAGCUUCAACACCUCUGCAGCCAAGACAGAACAAGCCAUUAGUUGUUGCUAAAAGCAGAAAUGAUGAGUGGGUGACGAAGCGGAUAAAUCAAUUUAGGAAUCAACACUUGGAAGCGAAAUAUGAAACGAGAGACUGAAAAAUUUAGCGCAUAUUUUGUCACAAUAGACCUAGUACUGACAUAAAUAACUUCCUGCUUUUCAAAGCAGGUGAGUAACAUUCAGACACCGACAAUAACAGCGGCUGGAGACAGACUAAUACCAUGUAUGGGGUUAGGAAGUGUUCUCUGGAGUGACUUUAAUUAUUUUAAACAGAACGCAGAGCGUUUUCUUGACAAAACAGAUCCUUUUAAAAGGGAGGGUCUUCUCCGUCAAACGGAUGUGUGGCCGGCUGAACAGAAACGGAUGGAGUGAGCGCUCUGUCCUUUAGCCAAAGAUCAGACAUUUUUCCUGGUGAUUAUGAAGCAGCUGUAAUCUUAGCUUCACAUUUCAUGCCACUGCUACAACAGACUGAGUCAGCAGCCAGGACAGGGAGGGGGCCACUGGUGGUGUUUGUGAGGAGAAGGUUCCAACAUCUUCAGCAUCGAAUCUCGCCCAAAGAUUGUGUUACUAAAUCCAUCAUCGUCCUCUUCAAUCAUCCCCCCUGCAUGAUAAACAGGUGAAUCACUGACUUAUUUUCCUUAGUGUCUGAGCAACGGAUUAUAUAUCAGUAUUUUAACUUCCCGCCAGCACAUCAGUAGCAUUAGCUUGUAAUGACUUUUUAGGGUAAUACAGCAUUCCUCUCUCUCAGGGACGGGAAGAACAAAAUGGCUGUUCUGUUCUUGUCGCUUGUUUAUGACACAUUCUGGGCAGAGUCAUUUUCUUGUGUGGUGUCUGGUGGAUACUAUGUGAUUGGUUAGAAAUGAAUGUGCCUCUUUUGGUUACCGUGGCGUCUUCCCAGGAGAUUUACACUCGAGUUCUUGUGAAGUAUAAAAUGAUAAAGUUUGAACUUGUUGUAACCCACAUAAAAUGGGGAUGCCUCUUUAAGAAACGGAGGUUAGGGAAGCUAGGUGGUCUACCUAGCCAAUAGGAAGUUUAGCUUCCAGUGAGUUUAAACCAAUCAGAAUUCGGACUGCCGCUGCAGGACCCGCCCUUCCGCAGCAUUGAGUGUGUAAGCGAGAGAGAUCCGGAAACGAUUAAGCUGGGCAGCGUGAGAGUCUCUGUUUUAAAACAGUUAUACAACUCCAAACAAACGCUUUCCCAGAUCAUCCGACUUCUAAGCUAGACGCGUGAAGUGAAAAAAAAGAAAAGGAAAGACAAGUUCACUUUUUCUGCUGAACACCGUUAGAGCUGACUCGUUAGCUCUAACGGCCAACGGCUACUGGUUUAGCUCUAACGGCUACUAGGCUAACGUUUUAAGUUCAUCCUGUUCUCCGUUCAGUUGAAGUGCCUCACGGGUCCGGACUGAGAGCCACCAUAUUGUUGUCCCUAACGUGUCGCAUUGAGAUCGGUCAGGUUUUUUUUUUGUUUAUGCUGGAUUGUUCCUGAGGUGGAUUCCUCCUGUGACUUUGAUGGCGAGCCUUCCCACCUGGACUUAGAAAGAACUGGAUUCCUGGAUUCCUUCUUUUCCGUUUGGAGUCCUGCUGCACCCCGCGGUGUGGUAGGCUAGUACCACUCACAUCUUCACACACAGUUGGUUAGGAGUGAGACCACUGACUGACAUUUUUCUUUUUAUUGUUUAAUCCUGGAAUUUCUGAUCUCACCUUUUGGACUGGUUUUUAUUUGGUACCUUGUAACAAACUGCUGUGUAGGAAAUUCUCCUCAUGUGAAUGGUGUUGAGCUGAACCUAAUUGGAACUGGAAUUGAUUGAUCUGUUGCCUAUUACGAUUUAGAAUUCAGAUCACCAGGGUGCACCCAAAAGAUUCAAAACUGAGAACUAGCACUUGGCCAAGUAUUUGUAUUAUUUUUUGUAUUUUAUUGUGUGUAAUUUUAUUUUCAUAAUUGUGUGUCUUGUAUAACUGUUUGUUAAUUUCAUGGUUUAUGUCACUAAAGCCAGUUGUUUUUUUUAAAUUCAUUUAACUGCCUUUGUGUGUCAUUUAAACACCCCACUAUGCUCCGAUAGUCGAACCUAUUGGCCCAUUCAUCUAAUAUAUAAAAUACCCUUCUCAUCUGUGUUACAUUGUGUUUGCCGCUUCCAGAAAAAACCCCAAACAAUUGUGUAAUACUAAUAUGUUGUUAAAUACUGUAUAUGUUAUUCUUAAACUGCGUCUUUAGCAUAAUUCUUUGAGAGUUACAUCGCUGUUGUGCAUAUCAAGCCUUGAUAAGGAUGGCAAAAGUGUGAUUUUCAGCUGCUUCCAUUCACUGUUGCUAGGUUUUCCAUAAUGUAUGUAUUCUGGACAGUUUUUUUGAGAAAAGGGCGUAAUCUCUGAUCAAAACCAGAUCAGAGAUUAUGGUUUUUACUAAACCUAGCAGUUUUUUACUAAACCCAGCAGCCACAGUGGUAGUUAAUUGAAUUAGAAAUGUUGCUAUUUCAGACAGACAGCUAGCACUCACCACAGCCACUUUUAAACCACUGGGUAGGGUGCUGGUUUCCGUGGUACCACAGUUAGACAUUUCCGCUGAUUUUAUAAUCCUCAAUGGACAAACACUCGAACUCUACAGUACAAUCACUGCUUCUGUCUUUGGUGGUCACUGUGUUACAAAAUAACAUUUAUAUUCAUUGUUCCACACAUAACAUGAGUACUCUUUUUUUUAAUUUUUGGCUUCAUCCUUAACAUCUUUGCAUCUGCUUUAUUAGGUAUUUGCUUCCUUUUUAUAUUUUUUUCAUUUCCAAAUAUGAAAAAAAAAAAACUACAAGCACAACUAAAAAAG